rnacentral:misc_RNA from 1 species
AAGUGGUAACAAGGUUUCCGUAGGUGAACCUGCGGAAGGAUCAUUAACACGUAUCUAAACGUUGUAAAAAAAAAAGAAAGAAAACCCCCCUGUGAGCAUUUGAAUGCUCUUGCAGGCUGGUAAAUCAUCGCUGAACUAGUUUGAUUCAGGGCUUGUUGGGUGAGAGCCAUAGCUGCAAUCGAGACAUAACCAAGCCUGCUCCGUAAAGUCCCUGCGUACGUGAAAGUGGUAUUGGUGUAUGUACCGGAGAAACCCUUCUGGACGGCCACCACGGCCGGUCGCUGCUUCGUGCCCCCCAGGAGUACCCCGCUACCAGUCGAAACGACCAACCUGAAUACUUGAACUGUUAACAAUGGAUAUCUUGGUUCUC